UACGAAGGGGACUAGCGUUGUUCGGAAUUACUGGGCGUAAAGCGCGCGUAGGCGGAUCGCUAAGUCAGGGGUGAAAUCCCAGGGCUCAACCCUGGAACUGCCUUUGAUACUGACGAUCUGGAGAUCGGGAGAGGUGAGUGGAAUUCCGAGUGUAGAGGUGAAAUUCGUAGAUAUUCGGAGGAACACCAGAAGCGAAGGCGGCUCACUGGCCCGAUACUGACGCUGAGAUACGAAAGCGUGGGGAGCAAACAGG
rnacentral:rRNA from 1 species